rnacentral:rRNA from 1 species
UACGUAGGGGGCUAGCGUUGUCCGGAAUCAUUGGGCGUAAAGCGCGUGUGGGCGGUCCGGUAAGUCCGCUGUGAAAGUCGGGGGCUCAACCCUCGAAAGCCGGUGGAUACUGUCGGGCUAGAGUACGGAAGAGGCGAGUGGAAUUCCUGGUGUAGCGGUGAAAUGCGUAGAUAUCGGAAGGAACAUCAGUGGCGAAAGCGACUUCCUGGACCAAUACUGACGCUCAUGUGCGAAAGCGUGGGGAGCAAACAGG